GUAUCGGGAAUGAAGUUCUCCCGCGGGAAACCGGAACCGCCGUAUGACUGGCUGAUGACUUCUGUG
rnacentral:ncRNA from 1 species